rnacentral:tRNA from 2 species
GCGGGUAUCGUAUAAUGGCUAUUACCUCAGCUUUCCAAGCUGAUGAUGCGGGUUCGAUUCCCGCUACCCGCUCCA